GAUGAACGCUGGCGGCGUGCCUAAUACAUGCAAGUCGAGCGAACGGACGAGAAGCUUGCUUCUCUGAUGUUAGCGGCGGACGGGUGAGUAACACGUGGAUAACCUACCUAUAAGACUGGGAUAACUUCGGGAAACCGUAGCUAAUACCGGAUAAUAUUUUGAACCGCAUGGUUCAAAAGUGAAAGACGGUCUUGCUGUCACUUAUAGAUGGAUCCGCGCUGCAUUAGCUAGUUGGUAAGGUAACGGCUUACCAAGGCAACGAUGCAUAGCCGACCUGGGAGGGUGAUCGGCCACACUGGAACUGAGACACGGUCCAGACUCCUACGGGAGGCAGCAGUAGGGAAUCUUCCGCAAUGGGCGAAAGCCUGACGGAGCAACGCCGCGUGAGUGAUGAAGGUCUUCGGAUCGUAAAACUCUGUUAUUAGGGAAGAACAUAUGUGUAAGUAACUGUGCACAUCUUGACGGUACCUAAUCAGAAAGCCACGGCUAACUACGUG
rnacentral:rRNA from 1 species